rnacentral:rRNA from 1 species
UAGGGAAUAUUGGUAAUGGGCGAAAGCCUGAACCAGCAACGCCGCGUGUGCGAUGAAGGCCUUCGGGUCGUAAAGCACUUUUUGGAGGGAUGAGGAAGGACAGUACCUCCAGAAUAAGCCUCGGCUAACUACGUGCCAGCAGCCGCGGUAACACGUAGGAGGCAAGCGUUAUUCGGAUUUACUGGGCGUAAAGCGCGUGCAGGCGGUUCGGAAAGUUGGAUGUGAAAGCUCCUGGCUUAACUGGGAGAGGUCGUUCAAUACUUCCGGACUUGAGAGUGGGAGAGGGAGGUGGAAUUCCGGGUGUAGUGGUGAAAUGCGUAGAUAUCCGGAGGAACACCAGUGGCGAAAGCGGCCUCCUGGCCCAUUUCUGACGCUCAGACGCGAAAGCUAGGGUAGCAAACGG